rnacentral:snRNA from 13 species
GUGCUUGCUUCAGCAGCACAUAUACUAAAAAUUGGAACGAUACAGAGAAGAUUACCAUGACCGCUGUGCAGUGAUGACACACAAUUCGUGGAAAAAAAGAGAGCUAAA